UUGCUUUAGCAGCACAUAUACUAAAACCGGAAUGAUACAGAUAAGAUUAGCAUAAGUUCCUGUGUAAGGAUGACAUGCAAAUAAAUGAAGCAUUCCAUAUUUUU
rnacentral:snRNA from 10 species